rnacentral:rRNA from 1 species
GACAGAGGGGGCAAGCGUUGCUCGGAAUCACUGGGCGUAAAGGGCGCGUAGGCGGGAUGGCAAGUCAGUCGUGAAAUCUCUCGGCUCAACCGAAGAACGUCGGCCGAUACUGCCGUUCUUGAGGGAUGCAGAGGAGAUUGGAAUUCCCGGUGUAGCGGUGAAAUGUGUAGAGAUCGGGAGGAACACCGGUGGCGAAGGCGGGUCUCUGGGCAUCUCCUGACGCUGAGGCGCGAAAGCCAGGGGAGCAAACGGG